rnacentral:rRNA from 1 species
CGCGGCCUAUCAGCUUGUUGGUGAGGUAACGGCCCACCAAGGCGACGACGGGUAGCUGGUCUGAGAGGACGGCCAGCCACACUGGGACUGAGACACGGCCCAGACUCCUACGGGAGGCAGCAGUGGGGAAUAUUGCGCUAAUGCGCGAAAGCGUGACGCAGCGACGCCGCGUGCGGGAUGAAGGCCUUCGGGUCGCAAACCGCUUUCGCCAGGGACGAAGGGGAACUGACGGUACCUGGAGAAGAAGUCCCGGCUAACUACGUGCCAGCAGCCGCGGUAACACGUAGGGGACGAGCGUUGUCCGGAAUCAUUGGGCGUAAAGCGCGCGUAGGCGGCCCGGAAAGUCGGAUGUGAAAACCCGGGGCUCAACCCCGGGCCUGCGUCCGAUACUCCCGGGCUGGAGGCAGGUAGGGGAGAUCGGAAUUCCUGGUGUAGCGGUGAAAUGCGCAGAUAUCAGGAGGAACACCGGUGGCGAAGGCGGAUCUCUGGGCCUGUCCUGACGCUGAGGCGCGAAAGCUAGGGGAGCGAACAGGAUUAGAUACCCUGGUAGUCCUAGCCGUAAACGUUGGGUGCUAGGUGUGGGCGGACAUCGACUCCGUCCGUGCCGAAGCUAACGCAUUAAGCACCCCGCCUGGGGAGUACGG